GCGGGUGUAGUUCAAGGGUAGAAUCCCAGCCUUCCAAGCUGGUCGUGUGGGUUCGAUUCCCAUCACCCGCUCCA
rnacentral:tRNA from 1 species